rnacentral:SRP_RNA from 1 species
UGGGAAGCAUGAGCAGACAAAGAGUUUGUUAACCCGGUCAGGUCCGAAAGGAAGCAGCCGUCGCAGAUGUAUUUGGGUUGUAUCAUGCUUCUCGCUU